CCUACGGGAGGCAGCAGUGGGGAAUCUUGCGCAAUGGGGGGAACCCUGACGCAGCGACGCCCGCGUGCGGGACGGAGGCCUUCGGGUCGUAAACCGCUUUCAGCAGGGAAGAGUCAAGACUGUACCUGCAGAAGAAGCCCCGGCUAACUACGUGCCAGCA
rnacentral:rRNA from 1 species